AGUGGUAGGUGCAGCAAUCAUUGCACUAUUUAUAAUUCUCUUGUUCAGAAGUUUUUAGAUCAGUUAAACAUAGGAUGUUAUUUAAGAAGAGGAAAACAGCUUGCCUAUAAAACUUGCCGAAGAAAUCAAAGAAAGAUGUAAAAUUCUUGACAAGCUUAGCCUUAUUUAAAAAAGAAAAGAGUAUAAAGGACCAGAAUCAUCGUUAACUGAUGCCAGCCUCGAGAGAGAGCCAUCAAAAGUUCCAAGUCUGGAGGAAGCUUAUGGAAACCUAGAUACAAUCAACUUUGUACUUAAGCAUGAAAUAACUUCUCUUGAAAAAUAACUGAAAUAAAAGAGAAAUCCAAAUGCUCAGAAAAAGAUGAGUUGAUGGAUGACAUUAUAA
rnacentral:lncRNA from 1 species